rnacentral:rRNA from 1 species
GACGAACGCUGGCGGCGUGCCUAAUACAUGCAAGUCGAACGAGAGCGACCGGUGCUUGCACUGGUCAAUCUAGUGGCGAACGGGUGAGUAACACGUGGGUAACCUGCCCAUCAGAGGGGGAUAACAUCCGGAAACGGAUGCUAAAACCGCAUAGGUCUUCGAACCGCAUGGUUUGAAGAGGAAAAGAGGCGCAAGCUUCUGCUGAUGGAUGGACCCGCGGUGCAUUAGCUAGUUGGUGAGGUAACGGCUCACCAAGGCCGUGAUGCAUAGCCGACCUGAGAGGGUGAUCGGCCACAUUGGAACUGAGACACGGCCCAGACUCCUACGGGAGGCAGCAGUAGGGAAUCUUCCGCAAUGGACGCAAGUCUGACGGAGCAACGCCGCGUGAGUGAAGAAGGUUUUCGGAUCGUAAAACCCUGUUGUUAGAGAAGAACAAGUGCUAGAGUAAAUGUUAGCGCCUUGACGGUAUCUAAACAGAAAGCCACGGCUAACUACGUG